rnacentral:rRNA from 1 species
UGCGUAGGUGGCGUCGUAAGUCGGGUGUGAAACCUCGGGGCUUAACUCCGAAACUGCAUUCGAUACUGCGGUGCUUGAGGACUGGAGAGGAGACUGGAAUUUACGGUGUAGCAGUGAAAUGCGUAGAGAUCGUAAGGAAGACCAGUGGCGAAGGCGGGUCUCUGGACAGUUCCUGACACUGAGGCACGAAGGCCAGGGAGGCAAACG